GUUUCCGGUGCAUAAUAUUCUCAGACGACACGAUGAUAGUGCAUGUUGAAUAUCAUGAGGAGACAGACAGCACCCUAUUACGAUUUGGGUGGUGGCUAAUCUUUCCUCACCUGCUGGAAGAGCUCACCUCUGCAGUGCUGUUAGACAUUUGAAGCACAGUCAUACCCUGAGAGUUGGUAUUGUCCCAUUACCAAGUUGCAUGAAGGCAGCCAUAUUCCACUGGCCAUCCACACAGUACUGGUAACUCGGGUCCCACACACUGCCAGGAGCUUUGUCACCUGAACCUAGCUGCUGAAAGAGGACAACAUACAUGCCAUACUGAAAGGGACAAAGUCACUCAGUGACUUGGAAGUUCGUGGUAUGGUAAUGGAGGUGUACCUUAAGGCCCUGGGCGUACAGACGGUAGCUUUCCUGCAGUUCCACUCAGCCUUCAGCACCCAAGUCCUGGGCUUUCAGCCAGGCGCCCGAGGAGUUAUAUUGAAUGGAAGAAUAAUUGGUCCGUUAAAGGAAGCAUUCAUAGAGGAUGACAAAAAUCUACUGGAAAAAUAUACACUGAAGUCGUCUGCUGAGAAAAUUGUUCAGAUGCUGACGGGAUUUACAGAGGACACAAAGAGGUACAGUGAGUGUUGAAGUGAUAUAACAUGGGGCUUAAAGGGACAAAAAAUAGGAUCUGAAAUGCUUUCUUAGUGCAUGGAUUGCUUCUUUUUGAACUUAUCUGAGAACAAUUGAUAUAUUUAAAACAUAAAAUGGCAGAUAAAUGGCCUUAAUCAGUAUCGCAAAAAAGAAUCAUAUUCACCGUCCCCUUUCAAACCCCGGGCGUCAGCCAUCUUGACACAGUUUGAAAUAACGCGGCUUCUCGACUCAGAUACGAGAUGUAAACAAUGCAGACAGCAUGUCUGACUCAAAGGUGAGCAUGGGCGUGAAGAGGAAGAGUAAUUGUUCACAGAAUCCUUGCAGGUAAGCGAGUUAUAUUCACUAUAAGUGAUUUAAAAUAGGAAGGUGGCAGUGGAAAUCAAAAUGUCUGAUAGUGAAAGUUAAAAAGCGUAGAUAACUGCUAAUAAACGUUUCCUCGGGUAACGCACUCGCAGUCCCCAAACCACUCGCACUGGGUACGUACUACUAGUUACAUGAAGUUAGGUAGUGCACUUAGCCCCUGUAAAGCAGGGUUCUGUAAAGCAGGAGGAAUACCCUUUUUCUGCCCAAUGUGGUCAUCUACCAGUACUUGCAGACUAACCUCACACCAUAUUCCCGCAGGGGAAUCCCAUGAGAUAUACAAUGUAACUCGAGUAGUGGGGAUAGAGGGUGUUCUUUGUACAACACUUAACUUAUUUGUAAAUUUAAUAUUGUCAAUGAAUAUGAUUAUAAGGAAUGAAUUUUUUAGCCUUUCAGAGGAGGAACUGGGUGAUACACCCCUUCAAGCAUGAGUGGAGAGAUUGGUGCCAAGUUAUAUCUGGAAAACUCAUACCAGGAAGCACUCCAAUCUUACAAUACUGCAUCACUUCAAUGUUGGCGUGACAAGUUGUGUAAAAAGACUGCUACAAAAGAAUUUGCAUUGAUGACCACAUAAUCCACCACCUUUUACCAAAACCAAGUGAACAGUUUUAUAUUAUAAUGCCCAUGUACAUGUAUUUAAGUGACAAGACUGAGAUCAGCGAGAGCCUCAAGGACUUUUAUUUUCUGGGCAUUGUCAACUAUUCAAUAAUUUUAUAAUUUUGCCAAAUACAUCCAAAGAUUCAAUUCUUGUGCAAUUCUUGAAAAUAUUUUUUUAGAAUAUAUUUUAAUGUCUAACAUGUUUUUCUAAAAACUAGCCCUUUAGUAUAUUAACAUUAUGUACCAUCCAACUAUUAUUAUUACUUAACAUAU